UUUUCCCUGAGAUUUCGCGUGAAAAAGUCUUUUUUUUACCAACACUUCUUAAAAGGGAUUGCUUCUCCGAAUGCAGCGUAUACGCCUCCUUUUCUUCGGAAAUGCCAGUGGACAUAUAAAACAUUCGGGAGCUUGCCCACCUGCAUAUGCAGGUAGAAAACAGACUUUGCAAAAACGGUUAUUUCGGGGUUUGU
rnacentral:other from 1 species